rnacentral:tRNA from 1 species
GCCAGAGUAGCUCAGUUGGUUAGAGCGGAGGACUCAUAAGCCUCAGGCCACUGGUUCAAUUCCAGUCUCUGGCA